GCGGGUAGCUCAGCUGGAUAGAGCGUUGGCCUCCGGAGCCAAAGGUCGUGGGUUCGAAUCCCGUCUC
rnacentral:tRNA from 1 species